rnacentral:tRNA from 1 species
UAUAGCUCAGUGGUAGAGUAUGUGCUUAGCAUACACAUGGCCCUGGGUUUGAUUCCCAGUA